GUGUCGAUGAAGAGCGCAGCCAACUGUGUGAAUUAAUGUGAAUCGCAGACUGCUUUGAACAUCGACCUCUUGAACGCACAUUGCGGCCGUAGGCUCGCCUACGGCCACGUCUGGCCGAGGGUCGGCU
rnacentral:rRNA from 1 species